rnacentral:rRNA from 1 species
AGUGAACGCUGGCGGCGUGCUUAACACAUGCAAGUCGAACGAGAACGGGAUAUAGCUUGCUAUAUUUGUCAGCUAAGUGGCGCACGGGUGAGUAAUGUAUAGAUAACCUGCCCUCUAGAAAGGAAUAACAGUUGGAAACGACUGCUAAUGCCCUAUAUGCCUUUAAUACAUAAGUAUGCAAGGGAAACGCUUUAGUGCUAGAGGAUGGGUCUGUAUGGUAUCAGCUUGUUGGUGGGGUAAUGGCUCACCAAGGCUAUGACGCCUAACUGGUUUGAGAGGAUGAUCUGUCACACUGGAACUGAGACACGGUCCAGACUCCUACGGGAGGCAGCAGUGGGGAAUAUUGCACAAUGGACGAAAGUCUGAUGCAGCAACGCCGCGUGGAGGAUGACACAUUUCGGUGCGUAAACUCCUUUUAUAUAGGAAGAUAAUGACGGUACUAUAUGAAUAAGCACCGGCUAACUCCGUGCCAGCCGCCGCGGUAA